CAUCGUCUGCUCGAUUAGCGUAGGGUCUUUAAUAAUUCCGAGUAUUUUGUGUGGCACCUGAAGGCAACUUCCGGGAUAGAAAUGGCGGACGUUGUAAACAGUGCCAGCAGUUUGUUGGAGGCCAAGUGAACGUGUUUAAGGAUGGACAGCAUUGAGGCUGACCGUUUUGACAGCCUGGACGGCUGGGUGGCCGUCAAAAGUAACAUAUUUGAGGAGAGCGAGGCAGUGAAGCUGGGCUUCAUCGUCGAGUGGAACGCCAUCGAGUCAAAGUUCGCCGUCACCUGUCACAACCGAACGCUGCAGCGACAGAAACGCAAAGCCGAUGUCGACCCAAGCGAGUCCCCGCUCAGCUGGGCUGGACUCUUCUCCGUCAGCGACUUGAAGCACAUCCACCAGCAGUUCACGUGCGUGGCGGACGUACUGGGCGCGUGCUUUCCAGAUUUAUCUGCGUUUGAAGAAGGGAAUCUGUGGGAGCUGCUGUUUCAAAGCCGGAGGUCAGCUCCGGAGCCCGACGCCGGGAGGGACUUCGACACGCCGUGCAGGAAGCUGGAGAAGUACUUCGUCACGGCGAUCGACCUCUGUGGCCGAAAGAUUGUUCUCGAAACGCUGUUCACUCAAGACGAGCGAGAUGUGGAGGAGUACUUUGAAAACCUGCAGGAGUUCAAGAAGAAGAGCAUGCAGGAGGAGAUGUCGAGGGCGAAGAGUCACCUGAGACAGCUGCUUCAGAGUCACAAAAGCGCCGAUCGAAUGGUGGCGUUGCUCUCCAUCUACGAUGAGGAAGACGAGGCAUACCAAGAGCUGGUGAUGGUUGCCACCACGUUCUUCCAGUACCUGCUGCUGCCGUUCAGGAACAUGAGAGAGCUGGCCUGUCUUUAUAAGAUGGAGAUCCUGAAGUCUUUGGAGUUUGAGGACUUGGGUCCCAAGAGGAUUGCUGCUCUGGAGAAGGAGGCUGAGGAAUGGAGAAUGAAAGCAGAAGAUGCAGCUGCUUCAAUCCAGGACAUCACAGUUACCUACUUUGAACAGACUUCAAAGGCUCUGGCGGGAAUGGUGAAGCAGAUGGAGGUGGAUAAGAGUCGUUUUGGACCUGCCGCCUGGGCGUCAGCCGCUCCCAGACUGGAAAAACUCCGCUUCCUGUUAGCCAAAGAGACCCUGCAGCACAUGAGAGCCGCAGAGAUGUGCCUCAACCGCAAAAAGGACACCAUCAGAGAGCGGCUUGAGAACCUGAACUCUAAACCUGGUUCUGGGUCUUCGAGUGAGACCAACAAGCAGCAGGAUUCAGUGGAUCAACUGGAGCUGCAGUUCUAUGAAACCCAGCUGGAACUGUAUGACGCCAAGCUGGAGAUCCUGAAGAACGAGGAGCAGCUCCUGAUGGCGCAGAUGGACACACUGCGGCGGCAGAUCAAAGAACUGAAGGAGGAGGUGGUGUACUAUGAUGUGUGUGAGGAUCCAGAGGAGCUUCAGAGCAUGAUUCACACAGGCGCUCAGCAGACAGAACCUCCACUUGUCAGUCGGCUCCGAAGACGCCUGCAAACCUUAGAGACUAAAAGAGGCAACAUCUGUGCCCGGAGGGCUUAUCUGCGCCACAAAAAGGAUCAGUGCAUGGAGGCUCAAGAUGAAAAGCAGGCGGCAGCCAAAAAGAGCUCCAUAUUCUUCAACCAGCAUCACCAGGUCCACCUGAAACGAGAAAAGAGGAAGGAGGAGGAGAAGAGGAGGAAAGAGUGGGUGGACCAGGAGCGGGAGAAGACUCUGAACAGAUUACGAUCCUUUAGAGAGAAACGGCAUGGUCAGUAUGUUCUGAAGACUCCUCGCUCCAGGAUGACCCCCCCAGAGGCUACCUGUCCCUCACAGCCGAUGUCCAUCAUCAGCCUCUCUCCCUCUGCCUCCUCUGAGGAGCCGCUCGCCACCCGCCCAGCACCCCGGCGCAACAAGCCGGCUAAAAAACAGCAGCUCGAAGACAUCCCCGUUCAAAUCUUCACUGGACCCCCUCCCUCUUCUCCUCUCACCUGCCCUUCUGCGCCACCUCCACCUCCACCACCACCACCACCACCACCUCCCCCUCUCCCUCCUGCCUUACCUCCUCCACGUGUCCAAGCCUCACCUUCUCCCGAAGACGCACCCAAGCCUCUCAGUGAGAAAGAUGACCCACCGUUUCCCGCCAAAAGCACGCUCAAACAGAACAUCGGAACAAUGGAUGAAGUGUUGGCUUCGCUGCAGCGUGGACAGCUUAAGCUUCGCAAGGUCACCAAGACAACGGCCCCAUCCGAGGACACGAGAAGCAGCCUGAUGUCUGCCAUCCGGCAGGGAGUCACCCUGAAGAAGGUCGUCCCUGGAAAAUCAGAAGUCCAAAACAGUGGAGACAACGAGCUGGAGCGCAGCAUCAAAGCCGCCAUGAUGAGGAUGAAGAAGGUGGCGGCAGACUCGGACGAUGAGGACAGAGGUGACCUCUGAUGACUGCGCUCUGACAGGUUUACGGCUCAGGAGGAUGACUUAGUGUGGCAUGCGUCCCGGCAGCCUUUCCACUCCUGCUUUCAGGCACUUUCUGCUUACAUAUUCCAAACCAGCGGCAAUAGAUGUUAUUCGUCUGUGUGUGAGUGCAGGUACGGAGCGUUGAUCUUUCAGCAUCACUUUGCAUGCGGGAUGGUCGUCUCAUACUCCCCAUCAUCUCCAGGUGCAAAACGCUUGUGCGCCUCAGAGAAGACAGACACGGCAGAUACCGAGUGAAGCGUAAAUCGGAGGAAAAUAGGUGUGGAGCCUCAAUGGGACUCGGCUGCCAAGACGUGUUCCACCCCCUUCCCUGAGCUUCUCAGGAAAAAUCCCCUAAACGCAGCACAGAGGCUGAGGAUGAGUCACUAUUGAUAUUAUUGAUAGAGAGGAUGGAGCUUUAACAUUUGAAAUGAGAAGAAAAAGAAUGACACUCAACAUUGUAAUUAAACUAAAUUUUACCAACUUCAUUUCUAUUGUACAAUAUUGAACAGGAAUCACAAAAGUGCACAAUAGGCAUUGGUUCAACAGGAAGAAACUUAAUGAGUUUUCCAGAUAGAGGUUCCAAACAGGGGAAACUGAAAAAAGGAUGAAAUUCCCUUACAUCGUCUGUCUCAUGACGAGCUUAGAUUAAAAAAUAAAGAUGUCCGACAGAGGAUUAUAAUAUAUGUCACCACACAUGCUUUGAUUCCAAAAAAGUACAGUUUUCAAACUGUUUUUCACUCCCCAAAAGCAGCUGCAACACCCCCUCAGUCGUGAAGGUUGAGUUUCUUCUUGAUAAGUGAUUCUGUAUUUGGACAAAAGAUCAAGAUAAACUUGGUCUACAAACACUCGUUGCAGAGAGGCACCAAAAAAAAAAAAAAAAAAA